rnacentral:rRNA from 1 species
UUAAAUUGAAGAGUUUGAUCAUGGCUCAGAUUGAACGCUGGCGGCAGGCCUAACACAUGCAAGUCGAACGGUAACAGGAAUCAGCUUGCUGAUUCGCUGACGAGUGGCGGACGGGUGAGUAAUGUCUGGGAAACUGCCUGAUGGAGGGGGAUAACUACUGGAAACGGUAGCUAAUACCGCAUAAUGUCGCAAGACCAAAGAGGGGGACCUUCGGGCCUCUUGCCAUCGGAUGUGCCCAGAUGGGAUUAGCUUGUUGGUGGGGUAACGGCUCACCAAGGCGACGAUCCCUAGCUGGUCUGAGAGGAUGACCAGCCACACUGGAACUGAGACACGGUCCAGACUCCUACGGGAGGCAGCAGUGGGGAAUAUUGCACAAUGGGCGCAAGCCUGAUGCAGCCAUGCCGCGUGUAUGAAGAAGGCCUUCGGGUUGUAAAGUACUUUCAGCGGGGAGGAAGGGAGUAAAGUUAAUACCUUUGCUCAUUGACGUUACCCGCAGAAGAAGCACCGGCUAACUCCGUGCCAGCAGCCGCGGUAAUACGGAGGGUGCAAGCGUUAAUCGGAAUUACUGGGCGUAAAGCGCACGCAGGCGGUUUGUUAAGUCAGAUGUGAAAUCCCCGGGCUCAACCUGGGAACUGCAUCUGAUACUGGCAAGCUUGAGUCUCGUAGAGGGGGGUAGAAUUCCAGGUGUAGCGGUGAAAUGCGUAGAGAUCUGGAGGAAUACCGGUGGCGAAGGCGGCCCCCUGGACGAAGACUGACGCUCAGGUGCGAAAGCGUGGGGAGCAAACAGGAUUAGAUACCCUGGUAGUCCACGCCGUAAACGAUGUCGACUUGGAGGUUGUGCCCUUGAGGCGUGGCUUCCGGAGCUAACGCGUUAAGUCGACCGCCUGGGGAGUACGGCCGCAAGGUUAAAACUCAAAUGAAUUGACGGGGGCCCGCACAAGCGGUGGAGCAUGUGGUUUAAUUCGAUGCAACGCGAAGAACCUUACCUGGUCUUGACAUCCACGGAAGUUUUCAGAGAUGAGAAUGUGCCUUCGGGAACCGUGAGACAGGUGCUGCAUGGCUGUCGUCAGCUCGUGUUGUGAAAUGUUGGGUUAAGUCCCGCAACGAGCGCAACCCUUAUCCUUUGUUGCCAGCGGUC